UACGUAGGGGGCGAGCGUUGUCCGGAUUUAUUGGGCGUAAAGAGCUCGUAGGCGGUUUGGUAAGUCGGGUGUGAAAACUCCGGGCUCAACUCGGAGACGCCACUCGAUACUGCCAUGACUCGAGUCCGGUAGGGGAGUGCGGAAUUCCUGGUGUAGCGGUGAAAUGCGCAGAUAUCAGGAGGAACACCGGUGGCGAAGGCGGCUCACUGGCCCGGUACUGACGCUGAGGUGCGAAAGCGUGGGGAGCAAACAGG
rnacentral:rRNA from 1 species